rnacentral:tRNA from 1 species
GAAGUAUUAGUAAAACAAUUACAUAACUUUGUCGAAGUUGAAUCAUAGGCUUGAAUCCUAUAUACUUCU